rnacentral:lncRNA from 1 species
UAGAGAGAUAUGACUUCAAAUAUCACAGUGGAUGUACGCACAUAGUGUAUACCCUGUGAUAUUAUUCAUAAUAUCCUAGGGAGAUACAACUCGUGAUAUCACAGUGUAUGUACCCCGUGUGUGCACACCCUUGAUAUUAGUCAUCAUAUCCAGGGUAAAUAUUACUCCUAAUAUCACACAGUGUGCACACCCUGUGAUAUUUUUCAUCAUGUUUUAGGGAGAUAUUGCUUCUAAUAUCACAGUGGGUGUACUCCAUGUGUAGACUCCAGAGUGUGUACUCUGGAGUACAGUGGGUGUACUCCAGAGUGUGUAGACUCUGUGACAGUAUAUUUUAUAUCCUACGGAGGUAUUACUCCUAAUAUCACAGUGGGUGUUCACCCUGUGAUAUCAUUCUUAUUGACCUUGCUGCCUUUUUUAACCCACACUACAAAAGGAAUGGAACAGAUAAGAAGAUAUUGAGAUUAGACCGUGCUGCCGUGCGGCCGCUGCAGGACACUUUUAAUAUCCCUGUUUCUCAGGCUGUAGAUGAAGGGGUUCAGCAUGGGCGUGACCACCGUGUACAUCACUGAGGCCACUGCAGCCUUUCUUGGGGAAGAUAACACAUCUGAACUGAGGUACCCUCCAAAGCCUGUUCCAUAAUAUCAGCAAACAACUCACAGGUGGGGAAGGCUUUACACCUCCCACAGAUGAUGAAACCCUCAGAAUGGAGGAAACAAUUACAUGGUAAGAGAAAAGGGUCCCCGAGAUGGGAAGAAAACCAAAUAUGGCAGCAGGGAAAUACAUGAUUAUGUGAUUGGUGAAGAUGUCACAACAUGUGAGAUGGGGCAGUUGAGAAGGGUCACAGAGGAAAUUAGGAAUUCCCACAUCCUCGAAGCAGGUCAUUUGUAAGGCAAUCAAGUUCUGCAGCUGACCAUCUAAAAGACUGAGAAAAAGAAAGAAAAAAAAGACAGCAAAUCUAGGAAGCCACAGAAACACGGGUUCAUGAUGGCUGAAUGAUAUAGAGGGUGACAGAUGGCUACAAACCGGUCAUAGGCCAUCACACUCAGGAGCAUGUCUCUCUUCCAUGCCUCCAAAAAUGGCAAAGAGAGAUAUCUGAGUCAGGCAGCCUGCAUAGGAGAUGACUCUGCUGUGAGAUUGGAUGUCCACAAUCAUCUUGGGGACCAUGGUGGAGGUGAAACCGAUGUCAGGCAAGGACAGGUUGGAGAGGAAGAAGUACAUGGGGGUGUGGAGGUGGGAGUCAGGGCUGACGGCCAGGAUGAUGAGCAGGUUCCCCAGCACCAUGACCAGGCACAUGGACAGGAACAGCCCAGCGAGGACCGGCUGCAGUUCUGGAUCCUCUGAGAGUUCUAGGAGGAGGAAUAUAGAGACACCUGUUAGACUCUGUCGGUCUGUAGAGUUUGGACACCUUUCACCCAGAAAAGAGGGUUAAAAAAUCGGAAACAAGUAAACCAACACCCAGCAUUGUGUCUGCAUUUUGGAUAGAAGCAAUUCACAAGCAAUGUUUUCAGAUUCCACAGCAAUCCACGCUCAGCAAUAUUUUGCAGUUCUGACAAACUCAAUNNNNNNNNNNNNNNNNNNNNNNNNN